UUAUAAUAAAACAACGGUUUGCUAUAUAUGUACGUAUUUACCUAUAAGAAUUCGUAACAUCGGUACAAUAUAUCUGUUAAUCACAUGACCGCGGGGUGGUUGCAUGUAACAAAUCCUGAUCGUAAACUCGCUAUUUGUUUUAUCGGAAAGUAGGGAUAAAGUUGAUUAGAAAUUUUAGUAUUUUCUAUUCAGUUUCAAAUAUUCGAUUACAAAGUACCAUUUAAGUUCCUCGAUAUUUGCAAAAAUAUAGAAACGAUAUAUUAUAAAUGAAUAAAGAGUGAUAAUAUGAAACAAGAUUGAAAAUAGUGACGAUGAAUUAUUGUUUUUUCAUUUUUGAAAAAAAUAUUUAACGUUAUUAGCGAAAUGCAGUUUCUGUCGUACUCGCAAAAUAUUUAAGUUUUUAAUAUAUAAGUUCGACGAAGGAUCAUCAAUUACGUUUGCUCGAGAAUCACGUCGGGCAUGAACGAUGUCCAUUUAACGCGAGUUCCAACGAACGAUAAUAAUAAAUUAGUAUUCGCGUGCGCUUUGGCAGACGCUUGGCCAACAGAUUACCUUCGUUACCAGCUAAAUAGCGAGCGUUCAGGAAUAUUUAGAACGUACAACAGUGUGUCUCAAAUGAUCAGACUCUAAUUAAUUUGUCAACUUGUAACACAAAAACCAAUAAAUAUAUUCUUUUCCAUCCAUUUUACGAAAUAGAAACAGACAUCUUACGCAAUACUUAGUGGUUGAGCAAAGACAUUUAACACGUUGAAUGCCAUUAAUAUUAAACGGAAGAAUAUUUUCGAUAAAUGGAUACUUUUUACCGAUUUUAUGGGUUAACCAGCCGGCACGAAACGUGUUAUUGAAAUUAUUUGAAGUCAGCUACAGUACAAGCAACGAAAAAGGAACAUAAUACCUUUCGUACGAGGUGCAAUUCGCCAACGAAUAAAUUUAACAAGAAGAACUUAUAAUUCCGUUACACUGUUAUAUAAAAAAAUGCUCUUUUUUCGUACUAAAGAGAAUUGUUUCGUAUAACACAAUUUCAAUGUAUCUUAAAUUUUAGACACAUUGGAAUACACGUGGGUAUGAUAAUAUUAUAAUACAGUCUCAAAAUUGUCUACUUUCGCGGUACAUGAAAAUCGAAAAAAAUGAUUAGCGUGCGGAUCAUCUACAUAUACACACGUGCAGCAUUUUUUUAAUUUUAACGUUAAACAAACAGCAAACAAAUCUCGAUAACUUUUAUGCAUUUAUGUAUAUUCAGAUACCAUUUAUCUGCAAAUGGGCAUCGACGAGGUUCCACCAAUGUGGACUCAUGGAGAAAUUUGAAGUUCGCAAGUAUUUUUGGAAUGCUUUUCUUUUUAACCUCGUCCUUGACGAUGAAGAUUUCUCCGAUGAGCUUGAAAAAAACGCAUCUUCAAAGCAAAACGUUACCUUGAAGAUUCAAAUUCGUCUCGAAAGGUAACAUCAAGAACAUCUUUUUCAAGAUAUUCUCGAAGAUACAAAAGUCGCGUGAAGAAACCUUCUCUACCCGAAAUCUCGUCUUUUCGAAGGACGAUCUGCUACAAUGUUCAGUCUCUCGGAGAAUUUGUUUACCGAAAAUACAUACAUUUAUGUAUAUUUGUAUAAUUAAUGUAACAUACGCUAUUUGAAAGUGCUUCUGCUGAUUACACACAAAGAACAAAGUGACUCGCGACACCUUUCCUAUUGUUACUACUGGGGAGUCGCGGACAUGAAAUUAAGCAUCGCUACAGCUCCCUUCUUCUCUUCCAUUUUAUGUUUCCCAAAUUUCUAAAUUUAUGUAUAUUUAUAUAUAUGUAUAUAUAUAAAAAAAAACCAGCGUUCUUUAUGCACAGUACACCGUAUACAAGUCGACUUCCAUUACCACGCACCAGUUGGGGGAUUAAUAAUUUGCAUAGUUAAUUAUACAUAGUUCAAAUACAUUUACAUAUAUAGCUUUAUCGCGUAUUAUUCAAAAAUUCGUGUCAUUUGCACGUGAAUCAUAACAAUUUCGAUAUGGAUUACGUUAUAUCAAUCUUUUUUAUUCAUGCCUAUGUGAUACCUUUAACGAUGUUAUCUUUAUUCUCGACAGUGCUGUUAAAAAUUUGUUGGAAUUUCUUUUGCACGUAACUUUUAUAAG